CGUGAACUUGCACAUGGAAGAAGAGGU
rnacentral:piRNA from 1 species